AGCGAAACACGGUCGACACCGCACCGCCCCCGGACAAAACCAGUCGACGAGAGCAAAGCGAAAACGGAAUCGAACGGAAAUAUGUUGGACGAGUCACUAGCAGAAGCCGCCCCGUGGCAACACUCUUUGCACUGAUGAUUCUUCACUAGAAGAAUUUCUCAAGACCACUUUCGUUCAAGCGUCUUUGAAGAUUAUCAGAUCACGAUGGAAAAUGGUGCCGAUGACGGGAAUAUGAUUUCGAAGAAGAUAAAUGCAAAUCGUCUCCAGUGCCAUGUCUAGUCACGUAGAAAAGAAGCACUCAGGCAAAAGAAAAGAAGAAUCAGGAUGGAUCUUCUAUAAAAUAUAUUCGUUCUUCCGGGAGCAGUGAAAACGUUGGAAGAAAAUCCUGUGAUCGUCAAGCCGUAGAGAUGGGUUGUCGUGGAGAUUGCUCGUCGGAUAAACCGCCGCCUCUCAUCUGUGGCAAUAUCUUCCCCGGAGCUCAACGACUGAGAAAAUCGGGGGAACUGUUAAUAAAAACGGCUGGGAAUUCCGCAAAAACAGAGAGGGAGUCGCUGGAGAGGAAGAUGUGGGCAAAUGUUAUCCCUUUCCGAUUUAUGCGGUGAUUUCGAAAUGCUUUCCGCGUUAAAUAGAGAGUGAUAUAAAAGGGUAAUUUGAACUUACCUUGCAAAUUAUUACAGAGUGUUUGUUUCCCACUCAACGCCAAAACCAAAACUUUAUGAAAAACAUCUUUUUUGCAUAUUAAUAUUUCGAUAUUUAAAGAAAUCAUGACAAGA